GAGAUGCAGCAUCUCAUUUAUGAGAUUUGAGAGGCUCUUAUUUUGUAAUUCCACAUCAGACCGUCCUGAAACGAUGCAGCUGACAUUGUGGUAAGGUGUACUCUCAAUCUGAGGUGAAAGUGGUCUGUGCAAUGUAUAACUUUACUUUUUAUAGAUUUUCUAAUAUAGAGAUGCAGCAUCUCAUUUAUGAGAUUUGAGAGGCUCUUAUUUUGUAAUUCCACAUCAGACCGUCCUGAUACGAUGCAGCUGACAUUGUGGUAAGGUGUACUCUCAAUCUGAGGUGAAAGUGGCCUGUGCAAUGUAUAACUUUACUUUUUAUAGAUUUUUUUAUAUAGAGAUGUAGCAUCUCAUUUAUGAUAUUUGGGGGGCUCUUAUUUUGUUAUUACACAUCAGACUGUCCUGAAACGAUGCAGCUGACAUUGUGGUAAGGUGUACUCUCAAUCUAUGUUGAAAGUGGCCUGUGCAAUGUAGAACUUAGAUUUUUAUAGAUUUUUGAAUAUAGAGAUGCAGCAUCCUAUUUAUGAGAUUUGGGAGGCUCUUAUGUUGUAAUCUCACAUCAGACCGUCCUGAAACGAUGCAUCUGACAUUGUGGUAAGGUGUACUCUCAAUCUGAGGUGAAAGUGGUCUGUGCAAUGUAUAACUUUACUUUUUAUAGAUUUUUUUUAUAUAGAGAUGUAGCAUCUCAUUUAUGAUAUUUGGGGGGCUCUUAUUUUGUAAUCUCACAUCAGACCGUCCUGAAACGAUGCAGCUGACAUUGUGGUAAGGUGUACUCUCAAUCUGAGGUGAAAGUGGUCUGUGCAAUGUAUAACUUUACUUUUUAUAGAUUUUUUUAUAUAGAGAUGUAGCAUCUCAUUUAUGAUAUUUGGG